GGGAGUGCGGUGGGGAGGGAGAGGAUGAAAGCAGCAAAGAGCUGCAUUUAUGAGGCUGUUUUUCUUUCGGUGAAAAGAAGCAUUUAUCAGUGAUUUCAUAUAUCAUGUGAGAGGUGGCUUCCUGCCAAUUUUCGAAGGAUGCAAACAACCCGCUGACAUCAUAUGCUAAAUAUAGAGCAGCUCCCGCUUUAGGUGGAUAAAUAAUGCAGAUGCACAAGCCUGGGUCUUCGGUUACAUACUCAUUAGGAUCGGCCUGUCAGGUUCGUACAAUCGAGAGAACACCAUCCAGCUCCAAUGCGGAGUGAGAGAUCAAAGGCACUGUGCGGGAGGAAGAGUCCAGAGCCAUUCCCACCCGAGGAGAAGGGAGACCCGAGAGCAGGAAACGCGAAGACAAUGAGCCAUAAAGCUGCCGCAAGGUGUUGGAUCGAUGACAACAUCUGCAUGAAUCCUUCCCCUGGCAGCCAGGGAUACAAUAGAAGCUGUUCCUAUGGAAACCAGAGCAAAAGCAUCAGGCAGGAGGAAGAAGGCUGCAAUUAAAGGUGGAAAAGCGAGAGAAUAUUUUUAGAUUGCUUCAGAGGAACGCUACAAAAUGACAUCAUCCUAUCUUGUUAUUUGCACUGGGGCUAUGUAACAUAUUGCGGCGUCUGCCCCUGGCCGUUAAAUGGAAAAAUGUUAUUAUGUGUGUGAAUUAUAAAUACUGUGGUGAAACCCGAGCUCGGGAGUUAUUAGACAUCACUGUUCUGUAAUAAAGAAGAACAUUUAAUACA